CCCAACGAGCGCGGCUGCAGCGGGACGAGCCGCUCCGGGCCGGGCGCUGGCGCCGAGGCCGCUGCUGCCGCUCCUGCUCUCACUGUGCCCGCUGCGGGACCGGGGCCUCGCCGGGGCUCGCUGCUGCUUGAGCCGCUCAUCCCGCAACUGCCGCAGCACAGGACAUCCUGAGUGGGAAUGGAUACACAAAGACCACCAAGUCGCACCCUUAUGUGAAUGGCUCCUCUGGCGAUUGAACCCACACCUGGGCACUCUCAGCACCCUGCUCCAGCCAAGCCAAUCUCAGCUCCUGGCAAUAUCCUGCCUGGGAUAGGAAUGCCAAGUGCCAGCAAGGUCAUUCCUAUGCAAAUACAGCUCCUUCUUUUAUGCUAAUGCUGCUUUCCACACCAGCCCCUGCAAUGGCCCCAGGGCAGAGCUCCAUGGCCAGCAUCUGAUCAUGCAACAACACAGGUGAGCAGUUGUGUGACAGCACUGAACUCUUCCCAUAACCUGAUUUCCUGCCCUUUCCAGGAUUUACCCAACAGCUGUAAAGGUGCUCGUUCCAUGGCCCUUUCCAGGGAGAAAUGAGCAAGGCAAGUCCUGAGGGUUUACUUGGUCCACGGCCAAAGCUCUUCUGGAGAGGGUCAGGGCUGCUCCUGCCUGCAGAGGGGCCUUUCCCACAGGUGCCCUGGGGAUGCCAGGGAGGUGCCUUUGCCCACAGUGCCUUUCUCCUGCCCCUCUCCAGCCCGAGGCCUCUUCUCCCUUCCCUGCCAGCUGCUGCCAAAGAAGGAGGACACAUUCCCCACUGAGAAGAACACAACCUCACAGCUGUUAAGGCCUGACAGUUCCCUGCAGGGAGAGCUCAGCACAUGUGCCCAGAGGCAAUCCCAGCAUCUGAAAGAAAGAAAGAAGCAGCAAAAGUGACUUUUGCAAGCAAACUCUGAAGCUGACAAGCCCAGAAGCUCCAUCCAUCCACUCUGGAAGGAAAGGAUACUCCCAGGGAUGAGGCACAUUCCCAGCAAACUCUCCCAACACAGCCUGGAGGCAGCGCUGGAGCUCGGCUGUGGGGCUGGGAAGGGCUGCCAGGAGCACGCAGCCCCCAGGUGGGGUGGCAGCGGCAGCAGCAAAUUCCCACAGGCUGAUGGCACAACAGAGAGACAAAGGCCAGCAGUGCCCAUGGGAGGUGCAGGGUUAAUUCUGCUCCCUGCCCUGCCCCAUCCCCGCAGGAAAUCUCCAAGGGGGAGAGAAACUCUCAGGGUGCCCAAAAUGCAGCAUCUGUCACCCUGAUCCCGCUUCAACUCAGCGUGGGGGGCCAAACUCCCCCCACAGGUAAACACUGAGCUGACCUGGUCAGUCUCAAACACAGCCCCAGUUCUCACCUCCAGCCUGCUCCUGGGGCUGCUGCCACAUUCCUGACAAGGAGCCCCUGUGGACAGGGCUCUCUCUGUGUCUCAGGUGCUGGGCACUGCAGGGACCAGGGCAGCCCCCUCUGGGGACAAUUGGGGAUUCAUCCCACACCACAGGCAGGACCAGGGGCCCUCCAGUACAGGCUGGUGGGGCCAGAGCCCAUUGGGUUUGGCUGCUCAAAUACCAAAGCUUUUGGCAAAGAUGGGACAAGUUAAGUGGGUUUUCCUGUCCUGAGAGAGAGAAGAAAUUGUUGAAAUUAAGCAUGGAAAUUAAGUCCACUGUGGAAGUCAAAGGCUCCUGGCUUUCCCACUCCUGUUCUGAUUGCUCACUAGAGGGUUUUAUCCAUAAAAAAAUAAGAGGUGGCACCAAAUAAAAGAGCUCUUUU